rnacentral:rRNA from 1 species
UGGGGAAUAUUGGACAAUGGGCGCAAGCCUGAUCCAGCCAUGCCGCGUGUGUGAAGAAGGCCUUUUGGUUGUAAAGCACUUUAAGCGAGGAGGAGGCUACUUGGAUUAAUACUCUAGGAUAGUGGACGUUACUCGCAGAAUAAGCACCGGCUAACUCUGUGCCAGCAGCCGCGGUAAUACAGAGGGUGCGAGCGUUAAUCGGAUUUACUGGGCGUAAAGCGUGCGUAGGCGGCUUCUUAAGUCGGAUGUGAAAUCCCUGAGCUUAACUUAGGAAUUGCAUUCGAUACUGGGAAGCUAGAGUAUGGGAGAGGAUGGUAGAAUUCCAGGUGUAGCGGUGAAAUGCGUAGAGAUCUGGAGGAAUGCCGAUGGCGAAGGCAGCCAUCUGGCCUAAUACUGACGCUGAGGUACGAAAGCAUGGGGAGCAAACAGG